GUGGUAACUAUCGUAACUACGUGGUAACUAUCGUGGUAAUGUAACCUACUCGUAACUAUCGUGGUAAUGUGGUAACUACGUGGUAACUAUCGUAACUAUUGUGGUAAUGUAACUACGUGGUAACUAUUGUAACUAUCGUGGUAACUACAUGGUAACUAUCGUGGUAACUAUCGUGGUAACUAUCGUGGUAACUGCGUGGUAACUAGCUUAACUAUCGUGGUAAUGUGGUAACUACGUGGUAACUAUGUGGUAAUACGACGUAACUACGUGAUAACAAUCGUAACUACGUGGUAACUAUCGUGGUAAUGUGGUAACUACAUGGUAACUAUCGUAACUAUUGUGGUAAUGUAACUACGUGGUAACUAUUGUAACUAUCGUGGUAACUACGUGGUAACUAUCGUGGUAAGCAUCGUGGUAAUGUGGUGACUACGUCGUAACUAUCGUGGUAACUGCGUGGUAACUAGCGUAACUAUUGUGGUAAUGUAACUACGUGGUAACUAUUGUAACUAUCGUGGUAACUACGUGGUAACUAUCGUGGUAACCAUCG
ensembl:lncRNA